UGGGGAAUUUUGGACAAUGGGCGAAAGCCUGAUCCAGCAAUGCCGCGUGUGUGAAGAAGGCCUUCGGGUUGUAAAGCACUUUUGUCCGGAAAGAAAUCCUUGGCUCUAAUACAGUCGGGGGAUGACGGUACCGGAAGAAUAAGCACCGGCUAACUACGUGCCAGCAGCCGCGGUAAUACGUAGGGUGCAAGCGUUAAUCGGAAUUACUGGGCGUAAAGCGUGCGCAGGCGGUUUGCUAAGACCGAUGUGAAAUCCCCGGGCUCAACCUGGGAACUGCAUUGGUGACUGGCAGGCUAGAGUAUGGCAGAGGGGGUAGAAUUCCACGUGUAGCAGUGAAAUGCGUAGAGAUGUGGAGGAAUACCGAUGGCGAAGGCAGCCCCCUGGGCCAAUACUGACGUUCAUGCACGAAAGCGUGGGGAGCAAACAGGAUUCAGAUACCCUGGUAGUCCACGCCCUAAACGAUGUCAACUAGUUGUUGGGGAUUCAUUUCCUUAGUAACGUAGCUAACGCGUGAAGUUGACCGCCUGGGGAGUACGGUCGCAAGAUUAAAACUUAAAUGAAUUGACGGGGUCAUAGCUGUUUCCU
rnacentral:rRNA from 1 species